UACGUAGGGUGCGAGCGUUGUCCGGAUUUAUUGGGCGUAAAGCGCGCGCAGGUGGUUUAAUAAGUCUGAUGUAAAAGGCAGUGGCUCAACCAUUGUAUGCAUUGGAAACUGGUAGACUUGAGUGCAGGAGAGGAGAGUGGAAUUCCAGGUGUAGCGGUGAAAUGCGUAGAUAUAUGGAGGAACACCGGUGGCGAAAGCGGCUCUCUGGACUGUAACUGACACUGAGGCUCGAAAGCGUGGGUAGCAAACAGG
rnacentral:rRNA from 1 species